rnacentral:rRNA from 1 species
CCUACGGGUGGCAGCAGUGAGGAAUAUUGGUCAAUGGGCGCGAGCCUGAACCAGCCAAGUAGCGUGAAGGAUGACUGCCCUACGGGUUGUAAACUUCUUUUAUACGGGGAUAAAGUGCGUCACGUGUGCCUUUUUGUAUGUACUUUAUGAAUAAGGACCGGCUAAUUCCGUCCCAGCAGCCGCGGUAAUACGGAGGAUCCGGGCGUUAUCCGGAUUUAUUGGGUUUAAAGGGAGCGUAGAUGGGAUGUUAAGCGGGUUGUGAAAGUUCGGGGCUCAACCGGUGAAUUGCCAUUGAUACUGGCAGUCUUGAGUGCGGAGGAGGUAGGCGGAAUUCGUGGUGUAGCGGUGAAAUGCUUAGAUAUCACGAAGAACACCGAUUGCGAAGGCAGCUUACGAAACUGCCACUGACGCUGAUGCUCGAAAGUGCGGGUAUCAAACAGGAUUAGAUACCCGGGUAGUC